GAAUAGCAAAGAUCGCAGUAAGUCUGGAUUGUAUUAACACACGGCUUGUAACGGUCUUUUGCAUUUGAUGUUUUGUUGAGCUGUAUGUCCAGAUUUUGCUCUUUUGCACCAUCUGGUGGUGAACUAUGGAGGGUUCAGUUGUUUGCAGUUUGGGUCUCCACCCAGCCACUCUUUUGCUAGCGCACAUGGUGUCUGGGUGCUACAGCUCGCGGUUAGCUCCACACAUAGAGAAAGUAAUGUUUAAAGUUAAAUGAAGAGAAGAAAUAAGUGAGAAAGAAGAUGGAGAAUAAGAUAAUAAGGCCAUAAAGGACUAUUUAGCCCCUCCUGGAUGUCAGCUCACGAGUCCUCACGGGUUGUCAAGACCAGAGUAAACCUUGUUUUAUAACUCUACAUCGUGCCUACGUCAAUCCUUGAGGGUGCUACACGGCUUCUUCUUCUUUAUAUGUGCCACACGAGGGCCCCAAGAUCACAAGUAUCCUAUGUUGUUUUUCACGCUCUUCUCUUACACACAGAUUCUCAGUGUCUUUUGAUGAUGAUGUUAUUCAAAGUCUUUGCAAUGUUACAUUGAUGAACAUCUGUAAUUGUUCCAAAAUUUGUAGAAUUUUGUAGACGAAACUCUGCACAUGUUUACUUUUGCGAAACUCCUCAUAUCUGAGAUGCUGUUUUUAAUGCCCAGUCAUGUUACUGGCAUGUUACCAAUAAAUCUAAUUCUUUGCUAAAUGUUCCUCCAGCUGUUUCUUUUUAGUACUGUUUACCUGUCAUUUGUUCCCCUAGUCCCAAGUUUUUUGAGAUGUGUUGCUGCCACCAAAUUCAAAACAAGCUAUGAAAGCUACCUUUCAUGAAGUAGUCUGUUUCAACAUUUAAUGUUUUUUUUUUUUUGUGCAAUUUUUUUCCAUUUUAAACAACAUCUAAACUUCUUCGGAAAUAGGGUUGUAGAUCUUAAAGACUUGUAUGCAACUUUUCUUUUUUGACCCCUAAAAAUGCAGAUCUGCACUGGUUUAAUUUUUCCUGCAUCUCUUGUGAAAACUCCAUGUUUUUGCCUCAUUGUAUUCGCCUGACAAGGAUCAGGGUCAUACAUUUUUACCACAAGGUGGCAGAAGUGCUGUUUAAUGAUUCAUUUCCUGUUCUGCAGAGGCUGCUUUCAGAUACUCCUAGAAGAUUUCCACUUUUAAAGUUUUAAACAAUGGAUAUGUAAAUGCUAUACGACAGAAUUUAAUAAAACAGGACUACUUGCUAGGUACACUAAGCUGUUAAUGCAGA